ACUUGUUUGGUCCUGUUACAGGUACUGGGGGCAAACGCUGGAGCAGAGGGCAGAAAAUGGCUUGCAUGUGCGGCGGGUGUGCAGAUCAUGCCAAGGGCAAGACAGCUUCCAGGAGGAAAGACGAUGAGGUGGAUUGGCGCUUGGGAGUUGGACCUGGCGGUUCAUAAAAGCCUGUUCCAAGUUGACUUAACUGUCUGGAAGCGUUCGAUGCUUGGAGAGCAUGUCAUUACCUUUUCAUAGACGUCAAGGCUAGUAGCUCAUCCUGCAAGGAGUAACGGUGCCAUGUGGUGACCCUCCGUUUUCUUUCUGAAGAGGGCCAUCUGCUGGUGAAGUGGAUGGCUCAGAGAAUGACGACAGUGUAAAUGUCUUCAGAGAUUUCCUUGGAAUUUGCCAUAGAUAUGCUGAAAAAGCCAAGGGCUUGCUGAAGAUAGGAAAAAGCCUCCAGCAACAAUUUCUGAAAUUUCCUAACAGCUGUCUGAUAUGGUUGUGUUUUUCUGUAGUUGUAUGGAUUAAAAAGAUUUUGUUUCUUUUCAA